rnacentral:rRNA from 1 species
GCCAGACUCCUACGGGAGGCAGCAGUGAGGAAUAUUGGUCAAUGGGCGCGAGCCUGAACCAGCCAAGUCGCGUGAGGGAUGACGGUCCUACGGAUUGUAAACCUCUUUUGCCGGGGAGCAAGCGUGCGUUCGUGAACGCGCGUCGAGAGUACCCGGAGAAAAAGCAUCGGCUAACUCCGUGCCAGCAGCCGCGGUAAUACGGAGGAUGCGAGCGUUAUCCGGAUUUAUUGGGUUUAAAGGGUGCGUAGGCGCAGUGUCAAGUCAGCGGUAAAAUUUCGGGGCUCAACCCCGUCGUGCCGUUGAAACUGACGCCCUUGAGUGAGUGAGAAGUAAGCGGAAUGCGUGGUGUAGCGGUGAAAUGCAUAGAUAUCACGCAGAACUCCGAUUGCGAAGGCAGCAUACCGGCGCUCAACUGACGCUCAUGCACGAAAGUGUGGGUAUCGAACAGGAUUAGAUACCCCAGUA